rnacentral:rRNA from 1 species
GAGGCAGCAGUGGGGAAUUUUCCGCAAUGGGCGAAAGCCUGACGGAGCAAUACCGCGUGAGGGAAGACUGCCUAUGGGUUGUAAACCUCUUUUUUCAGGGAGGAAUAAAAUGACGUGUACCUGAAGAAUAAGCAUCGGCUAACUCCGUGCCAGCAGCCGCGGUAAGACGGAGGAUGCAAGUGUUAUCCGGAAUCACUGGGCGUAAAGCGUCUGUAGGUGGUUUAAUAAGUCAACUGUUAAAUCUUGAGGCUCAACUUCAAAAUCGCAGUCGAAACUAUUAGACUAGAGUAUAGUAGAGGUAAAGGGAAUUUCCAGUGGAGCGGUGAAAUGCGUAGAUAUUGGAAAGAACACCGAUGGCGAAAGCACUUUACUGGGCUAUUACUAACACUCAGAGACGAAAGCUAGGGUAGCAAAUGGGAUUAGAUACCCCAGUAGUCCUAGCCGUAAACUAUGGAUACUAGAUGUUGAACAGAUCGACCUGUGCAGUAUCAAAGCUAACGCGUUAAG